rnacentral:lncRNA from 1 species
CAUGACAGGAGAACGCGUUCUGACAUAUUGGGCACAAGUGGAGCACAACCUCUCCUUCCUCUGGCUGAACAUGGUGCAGAGUCACACCGUGGUGUGAUCAGACAUGUACAUAGGGUAAGGAUGUCCAUCUCGUUCUGCUGACCCUCCCAUCCCCACACCCUCUCUCCUCCCCUUACUCCCCUCUGCACAAUCCAAGGUUCCUUUAUUCCACCACACCCCCACUAGGGAUUAGUAUCUGCUCAUCAGAAAAAACAUCUGGCCUUUGGUGUUUGGGGUUUGGCUAUUUCACUUAGCAUGAUAUUCUCCAGCUCCAUCCACUUGCAAAUGCCAUGAUUUCAUUCUUCUUUAAGGCUGAGUAAUAUUCCGUGGUGUAUAUGUACCCCAUUUGGUUUAUCCAUUCACCCAUUGAAGGGCAUGCCAGUUGGUUCCAUAGCUCAGCUCUUGUGAAGGGAGCUCCUAGGUACAUUGAUGUGGCUGCGUCACUACAGUAGCCGAUUUUAAGCCCUUUGUGUAUCAACUAAGGAGUGGGAUAGCUGGGUCCAAUGGUGGUUCACUCCCAGUUUCCUGAGACUCUCCAUCCUGCUUCCCGUGGUAGCUGCCCGGGUCUGCAGUCCGCCCGCGGUGUGAGAGUGGGCCUUUCCCGCGUCCUCGCUGACACCUCCUGCGGUCUGCAGGCCUCCUGUCUUAGACUCCAGCUGGUCUGUGUGUGGCCAGCCUGGGAAUGGCUGCUCCUGGCGUCUUGCGGGUUCUAGAAGCAGGAAGGAGGCUGACCGCCUGUCACAGCAGGAUGGCUCUGCUUUGCCUGUCGGGUCGAGGGUGGAAGGAGCAGGGACGUCCGGGGGCUCUGAAGGACUCCCCCUCCAGUGAGUGCCCUAGUGGACGGAGUCCUCUGGCCUGCCUCUGGCUCUUCUCUGAGCUUGCUCCUUGAGCCGCGCACCGUCACUUUCCCUUUCUCUGCCCUGCUGCAGUGUGCCGAGCGGCUUGGCCUGGGGACACACGCUCCAGGGCCAGGCAGGCCCCACGUCCUGUGAGGCUCUGCACCCGCAGAGCUGAUUGUCCCCCACGAGGCUGGAGUGGCAGCCUGGGGUGGCAGCCGUGUUCUGCUGGCUGAACCCACAGCAAAAGCACAAGCAGAGAGUGUCCUGGUGGCUCCGCCAAGUGGAGCGGGGCUCGAGCUCCGCGGGCUGAUGCCAGCUCUCCUGCCAGCCCCCCUCCUAGGUGCCUUCCAGAGGCCCCCACCACGGCUUUGGGGUGUGGGGUUGGGUUUUGCUGAGAGGGGCAGACACGGCCGAUGGAGACGUGGGGGCUGCAGGCCUGUGGAAGGCCCUGCACCAACUUCAGACUCAGCCACACGUCCCGCAGGUAAGCAUCAGUGUGGUGUUGAAGUCCUGUCAAGAUUUAGCUCGGGGUCAGUAAGUCCCGAUGCGUCUGCCUGCCCGAGGUUGCGCCUCUGAUCUGGGGUCAGCAGCCUGGGAGGCCCUGGGGUUGGGCUGGAGGCAGGGCCCGCGACCCAGCGUCUGAGGAGCUCAUCCUCCUGGUGUGAGCUCCUGGCUCUCCAGGGCCCCUUCCCUGCUGGCAUCCGAUGGCUGCCCUGCUGCAGGUGGGGAGGAGUAGCCUGAGCAAGGUGUGCCAGCGGCUGGGCUGGAAAGCGGAACGCGGCCUUCCCCUUGGGGGAGCAGGGGGGGCGGAAAACACCUGCUCAGGUUUCAGCGGUGAACGCACGAGUGUGUGUGGGAACAGUGCACAGACAGACAGGCAGGCCUGAGCUGCUCGAUGCCGUCAUCACCAUCACUGACGGCUCGUGGGAGGGGGUCCUGGCAGGUCCCAGCGGAGCUGACCACCCCUAUCACCUGGUGGUGCGGAGCUCUCACACAGACACCCAGAUAGCGGUGAUUCUGAUACAAUCGGACAGUGUCAUCGAACAACAGGGGGCCGACCCUUAAUGCUUGGAGCAAGUUUCUGGGGAAAGUUUUGAAAAGAACCAAAUGGCCUUAAAACGGAGACCAAGGGUCAGGUCCUGCCAAAGCACCCUGGUCCCCACGUGUGGCCCUGCUGGAGGGAGCCUCCCUCGGACUCCACUGCACAGGGAAACCGGAUGCAGGCUCACCUGGAAGGGCGCGGCCCAGGCAGCCGCGGACAGCCGUGACCAGGCCCCGGCUGCUCGGACCCUCGGUCACGCAUGGUUCUGGGUGUUUCUGGGUGAGAGGAGCCUCUGAGCCAGUGGGUGAAGGAACGCAGACACCUCCGCAGUGUGGGUGGCCUCGUUCGCCAGUCGAGUGCCUGAGAGCAGCGGAAGAAAGGCAGGUGCCGAGGAGGGAGGCUUCCUGCCUGCUUCAGGCUGGGACGUGGGCAUCCGUCUCUGGAUCGGAUCGGCACCGUCAGCGCUCCGCAGCUUGCUGACCAUGGAGCGCGUCAGCCUCCCUAGACCCCGAGCAGAUCCCUUACAAUAAUCUCUCUCCACACACAGAGCCAGGGUCAUCUAAGGACAGGGACACAGUCUAGAAACAGGUCUGGUGUGGGCACGCUGGAGUGCACACACACAGGGCUGCCACGGGUGCAGUGCAGAGCCAACGCGAGUGCGCGAGCCGCUGCCCGCCAGCCAUGGCACUGAGUCGCAGUGGCCUUCUUCAGUAGGAGCCACUCCAAACAGUGACACCCAGUGCAGCACAGGAAGACCUCAGCCCGUGCCACCAGCACGUCCCUGUGCGGCCGUGAGUUGCACACGGCACCACCAUGGUUUGGCCAAUGUCUGCCAGGCACCAGGUGACAGGCUUUCCAGCUGCGUUGUGACCUACGGGCCACCCUCGCAAGACAUGUGCCUGUGGUCCCUCCUGGGCUGAGCCGUGGCUGUGGCCUGUGGCUGUGCUUAGACACACAGCACAUGUCACCUCUGUCCUUGGGGCUCUGUGCUGUGCCAGGCAGCAGCCCUCAGUCCAGAGCUCUCAGCUUCCCCUGCCGCGCCCUGCUGGGCUCUGCUGUGACCUCUCCUGGCCACGGAGAGACUGGAGGGUGAGAGCCUGGGGUCUCCGGGGGCUGCAGAGGGUCAGGCAGGGCUCAUGGCCUCGGGGAGGACAGCCAGCAAGUGAGUGCCCCCAGCCUGCGUGAGCAGUGAGCCGUGGGGGCGGGAAUGCAGCAGGAGACAGGCGGUGACUGUUACCCAGGGGAUGACAGGAAGCGGGGCUUCUGUGCAGGGUCCAAGGGGGAGCUCCUGAGGAGGGGAGCAAGCUAGAGGGAGUGAGCACAGGCAUUGAGGCCACCGUCCCCAAGGGCAGGGCUGCGGCUCACCCAGGCCCUGCCUCAGGCACGGUGUGAGCAGCAGGAGGCCCUCCCUGAGCUCAGGUGCCCCCGGGUCUGGUCGUCCACUCUCCCGCUGGGAGCCUCCUGUGGACAGCCUCCCUUGACAGUGCUCCUGGGGGACUUGAGGCCUCUGGGGGAAACCCAGGACAGGGCACGGGAGCAGCGUGGCAGGUGUGUGUCACCUGGUGCCGGGGAGGCCGGGUGUGCGCAGGUGCCCAGCGGCUGCCACCUGUGUGAGUCUCUCUGUGCCCCUGCCCCACUGACCUUUCCCAGAAUCUGGGUGGGGCAGGGCCGUGUGGGGCAGGUGCCUCUGCGGGCGUGUGCGCCUGCUGCAGGGGCCUGGCCGGCCCACCUGGCACCCCGAGGUGCCUGGGCCCUCAGCCCCCUGGUUCGGGUGGAUCCCUCGGUGGGCCCCUCCCGAGCUUUCCAGGCUGGCCCUUGGCCUGCAGUGACUGAGGAGGAGAACUGACAGAACCGGAACCAUGCUGGGGGUAGCUCGGCUGCCCCGCAGGGUCCACUGAGCCCGGCCUGCCCCAUGGGCUCCACUGAGCACCUGUCGUCUCACCUCCUUGGUCCUCGGCAGGAGCCCUGGACCCCGCACCCCGAGGCCCUCUUGGGAGACCCACAAGACCCUCCCUUUCCCAGCCACAUAACCGUGUGUCACAUGCUCUCCAUGCCCCUCGCUAGGACACCCGCUGGCGAGGACGGGGUGCCCAGCAGAUAAGACAAGCCCACCGCCGACAGGAAAGAUCCCCAGGACACAGAACGAGGCCACUCUGCUCACUGAGCUGAAUUUUGCCUAGGAAGAAGAGAGCAUCGUCAAGGGAGGCUGUCCACGGGCAGGCUCAGCCGGGAGAGUGGACGACCAGACCCCGGGGGCAUCUGAGCCCCUGUAGCUGUCGUGAAUCAUCCAUGUGAAGUCUAUGAGCUCUGCUCCUGUUGUGUUUAAGUGAAUGGAUAAAUAUCUUCCAAACA